GAGCUAGCUUUGGCAGUACAUAUAAUAAAAUUGGAUCAAUCGGGAGAACAUUAGCAUGCCUACUGGGUAAAGAUGAUAUGCAAAUUUGUGAUGCAUUCUAUAUUUUA
ensembl:snRNA LOC120102600 U6 spliceosomal RNA